rnacentral:lncRNA from 1 species
AGGCAUAUCCUUUAAUGAAUAAACAAAUAAAAAAAAAGGCACCACAAAAUGCUAAUGUUGCAGGCUUCACCAACUUAUUGAAUGGUUCAUUGCUCAUGUCUGUUCAUCAAUAUGUAAAGCACGUUCUGGAUUUUUCCUGUUCCCAAAAAGCAAGCGCAUGAAGCUUAAUGAUGAGGUCUGGUUCAUAUUCCCCAAAAAAAUCUCUCUUCUGUCCUCAACUCUCUAAGGCUCCUCUCCCAGUUGGCUGACUACUAGAAAAAUCGCAGCAAAAGCACCUCCCCUGCUCAAAGUGUCUUCUCCAAGCUAAAAAAAAUACCCUCAGAAAACCUGUCUCCUCUCGUCUCUAUCCCAAACUCUCUCCUCAAU